rnacentral:rRNA from 1 species
UACCAGCUCUCCGAGUGGUAGGGAUGUUUAUUGGGCUUAAAGCGUCCGUAACCGGCUUAGCAAGUCUCCUGUUAAAUUCAGCGACCUAAUCAUUGAGCCGCGGGAGAUACUACUAGGCUAGGAGGCGGGAGAGGUCAACGGUACUUCCGGGGUAGGGGUGAAAUCCUAUAAUCCCGGGAGGACCACCAGUGGCGAAGGCUGUUGACUAGAACGCGCUCGACGGUGAGGGACGAAAGCUGGGGGAGCGAACCGGAUUAGAUACCCGGGUAGUCCCAGCUGUAAACGAUGCGAGCUAGGUGUUGGGGCGGCUACGUGCCACUUCAGUGCCGCAGGGAAGCCAUUAAGCUCGCCGCCUGGGGAGUACGGCCGCAAGGCUAAAACUUAAAGGAAUUGGCGGGGAGCACCACAAGGCGUGAAGCUUGCGGUUC